ensembl:lincRNA
UCCAGAAAAAUGUGGCUACAGCACCCGAGUUGCACUUCUAAACUGCUUGGUGAAACAGUCAUUUUCUCAGUUCUCUCUGAACUCGCUUACAUUCACAUGCACUGUGGUGGUAGGCAAGGCACUGUUUCUGUAGAGUACAGGACUAUUUGGAAGAGGGAGACAUCCAGCAACAGGAUUGCAGACAACAACAUUUGCAUUUGUGUGGCAUUGGGCAAGGCGGAUCUCAGCACUUCAGAAGAGGAAGGUAGCUUGGCCUGGCUGCUCUGCGUGGGCCUUACCUCAGGGUCAGAAACUUACUUGCAAUCACACUCACGUGGGCCCUUGAGGGUCUUUCUCUAAUGACGACUAAGCCCAUUAUUGUGUAAAUAGCAAAAUGAUGAAUUUCUGUUCAAUUUAUAGUGUUUUUCUUGCUACCGGUGGCGACAAAGGAUUUAUCAAAGGUUGAAUUCUUUAAUGACUCUACCUGCAUGUUAUAUAGGCCAAUUUAAAGCCUGUUGUUUAAAACUUGGAAAAUACUUGGAAACAAAAUCAGAAGAGAUUGAUUCUGUGGUUAUAAAUUCAGUAAAUCUACUGGACACUAACUGUAUGGAUCUUAAAGAUCUUAAAAUAGUAAUAUGGCUUAAACAAAAUAAAGCAAGAAAAUCCUCUCCCAGAAAAUUGCAUAGACAAAUAUCUUGGAUUUUAUCAUCUACCUAGGGCUUCAUCAAAUGCCAAGUUUCCAGGCCUAUUUAAAAGAAAAAAAAAGUCCCAUUUUCCCAUAAACUUCUAUUUGAAAUAUUUAUGCCAAUGCUCUAGUGGUUUCUUUAAUGGGGUUUCAACACUGAGAAGUGGGGAGUGAGUACUGCAGGUAGUGUCUGUUUUUUGAGCUAUUGGUCCCUGACAAUUCACUUUAAGCUCAUCUUGCCUUGAGAAUUUUGGCUUCUCCCAUUACCAGCCAUGGCCCAGCACACCUCUGGCCAGGCAACACUUGUUUCCCAUUCAAGGGGACUGGAGAAAUCCUUUUUUUAAGCUAUUGCCCAGAAAAAAAAAAGAAAGUAUUACUAUUGAUUCACAGUUGAACUUCUUGCGUAUAAAGAUACCUGCCUUAGAAUUAGGGAAUCUAGAAUUUCAGGGAUGUUAGAAAAUAUGAAGGAUGCAAAAAAUCCACAAAAAUUUCCCUUGAUAGAGAAUUAUGUGGGAAAAUGGGGAGCAAUUUACAUUAUAAAAAAAUUCCUAGGUCUGAGAUACUGAAAUUUAAGGGCAAAAGAUUUGUUCAACUUGAUUAGACAGAAUUUUCCUGGUAAACAUUGGAUUCCAGCUCGUGUCUUUCAUAGGUCACCUGCUACCUGGAGGUUGCACUGAACAUAUAUUUUAAAAGUUAAAAUACAUUCCAUUUGUAGAAAUAUUAGAAUGUGAUACUCUAAAAAUAUCUGUUGUCUCAUUGGGAAAAAUAAAAGCCUUUC